rnacentral:lncRNA from 1 species
AGGACUUCCGGUUUCCUGUGCGCUACUCUGCUCUUCCGGGCAUGGCGCUACUCUGCUGGCCGGUGGUGGAUGUAGGCGUGAGGACGCUUGUCUCUAGAGGCUCGUAGUAGGUGUGGGGUUCCCGGUGAGUGCAGUGGGUCCUCGCCUCAUCCUCGAGAAGCGAUCGCGCGGUAGAUGUAAAAUGUGGCCAAUGCGUAAAGGAGAAGGGCACGGCGCUGCGAAAGUUUAGGGCCGAGGAGAUGGCUCCCCGGGCCAAGUCGCUGGCCGCCGAGCCUCAACAUCGUGGGUUCGAUCCUGGGACCCACUUGGGGAGAUCCGACUUCCUCAACACGUCCCCUGACUUCACUACGACCUCAGUCGUCUACGCGCCACGCACAUACAAAACCGCAAAGGACAGACUUAGAGUACAAGCCGAAUACUGAUGGAUGAAAAGUGGAAGUUGUUCAGGGAGUAACGUCCUUUGUAAAGAAAGAGCCAGUGAAGAGGGAUAGUGGGAAGAAAAAAAAAUUCAAAUAUGGGGAAGGGGUACGGAAACGUGAAGACUGGAGAAUUGGCGCAACCAGGUUGCAUCUUCCCGUUACUCCCACGUGUUUUUUCUUUCGAUGGUUUUCCGACUUGUGUGUUAAUGAUGUAUGUUGUUUCCUCUUAAAAAUCUAAGCGCUUUCAGGGCAGAACUAUAUUAUCUAAUUAUGAUUACAGUAAUUUGACAACAGGUAUAUAGUGACUCAGGCCUGUAAUCUCAAUCACUUCCUUUUAAGGCAAGAGGAUCACAAGAUUGAGCCCAGCCUGAGUAACUUAGUGUGGUCAUCUCAAAAUACAAGAGAGCUGGGGAUACAGCACAGCCAGUGGUCGAGGGCUUGCUCCUAGGACAUGCUAGGCUUUUCCUCAGUAUUGGAAAAAAGUCACUUUGCUGUACAGAGAAAAAUCGAAGGGUGUAAAAAGCGGCAGGGGAGAGCCCGCUGCUGGAAGAGUCCAGGCAAGAGAGGAUAGAGUGUUUUAUUCUGGUUCUUGGGAGAGGGUCUUACUAUGCAGCCCUGAACUCGUGCUUCCCUCUCUUCGGUGAUGGGACUGCAGUGCAGGGCAUCUCAUCCCUACCACCGUAGUGGAGUUUCAGAGAAACCUUACAACCUGAUGCAAGUCGCUGUGCGUACAUCUAUUUCCUUAGUAUUUUCUCUUGCUUCUUCUUUUAUUUAUUUUGCAAUUUAGAAUUUGACUUUUGUGCUAGGUCUUGAUCAUUGAUAUUUUGCCCAGUAAAUACUUGUUAAAUGAGUGAAGUUGGAUGAUGUCAGUGAAGAUACGGGUCAAUUUUAUUUAUUUAUUUUUUAAUAUGUGUGUACAUCUAUGUAUAUGGCUACACCUAGGCGGGCAUGCAGUCACAGGACCAUUUGCAGUAGUCAAGUUUUGUCUUUAAACUGUGUGGGUUCUGGGGAUUGACUUCAGGGCAUCAGGCUUGGUGGCAAGCACCCUUUACCUGCUGAGCCAUUUCGCCGGCCCAAGAUGUAGAUGCAUUUUCGGGUCUUGCUUGGUGUGCUGUUGCAUGACUUUGAUCCCAGCGCUAGAUCUCUGUCAGUUCGAAGUCAGUCAGAUCUAUGUAUUAAAUUCUAGACCAGCUAGAGCUACUUUUUAUUUUUUUUCCUUAGAUGGGGUUUCCCUGUGUGGUCCUGGCUGUCCUCAAACUUAGAGAUCUUUCUACCUCUCUGCCUCCCAAGUGCUGGGAUUAAUGUUACCUUUGUUUCUGGAAAAAAAAAAAAAAAAGUUAGGGGACUUUGAAUAACGGAUAUCUGAAUGAGAAGAUGAACUAGUGUUUGGGUUUAAUUUUUUAAAAAGGAAUGGGAUAUGCCCCUUCAGCGCUCUAAAUCCUCACCAAAAUAAAGCUUACUGUUACCAUA